UUUUUUAAAAAAAAAGAUCAUGUUUGCUCUUUGGUGAACCCGCAAAUUCGCUGCGGUGAUGGUAAAUCGGUGACUGCCACUGUUCCUCCUGAACUACGUACAACAAUGAUGAAUGUGACAGUGAAAUUUAUUCUGAGAAUUAGGUGAAUUCACCGGGACAAAUGGAAGAUAAUUCCUGGCAAGCCUUUGUUUUUUACACCCAAGGGACUACUGGUAUAUCGCAGACGUGCGUCCCUCCUCUCGCUUAUCUGCCAAGGCAUGAUAUCAAAUUGGCUGUUGACUGUUGGAGGUAGCUUUCUACGUGCAAUAUGACAUUGGCUUUAUGGUGCAUAUUCACUAUAAUAAAUUGAAUUUCA